AGCCCAGAGCCUGAAUCAGUGUGUGUGUUAGUGGAAGCGUCUGGAAAGGCGCGCGAUACAGGGUGACAGCCCCGUACACAAAAAUGCACAUGCUGUGAGCUCGAUGAGUAGGGCGGGACACGUGGUAUCCUGUCUGAAUAUGGGGGGACCAUCCUCCAAGGCUAAAUACUCCUGACUGACCGAUAGUGAACCAGUACCGUGAGGGAAAGGCGAAAAGAACCCCGGCGAGGGGAGUGAAAAAGAACCUGAAACCGUGUACGUACAAGCAGUGGGAGCACAGAGCAAUCUGUGUGACUGCGUACCUUUUGUAUAAUGGGUCAGCGACUUAUAUUCUGUAGCAAGGUUAACCGAAUAGGGGAGCCGAAGGGAAACCGAGUCUUAACUGGGCGUUAAGUUGCAGGGUAUAGACCCGAAACCCGGUGAUCUAGCCAUGGGCAGGUUGAAGGUUGGGUAACACUAACUGGAGGACCGAACCGACUAAUGUUGAAAAAUUAGCGGAUGACUUGUGGCUGGGGGUGAAAGGCCAAUCAAACCGGGAGAUAGCUGGUUCUCCCCGAAAGCUAUUUAGGUAGCGCCUCGUGAAUUCAUCUCCGGGGGUAGAGCACUGUUUCGGCAAGGGGGUCAUCCCGACUUACCAACCCGAUGCAAACUGCGAAUACCGGAGAAUGUUAUCACGGGAGACACACGGCGGGUGCUAACGUCCGUCGUGAAGAGGGAAACAACCCAGACCGCCAGCUAAGGUCCCAAAGUCAUGGUUAAGUGGGAAACGAUGUGGGAAGGCCCAGACAGCCAGGAUGUUGGCUUAGAAGCAGCCAUCAUUUAAAGAAAGCGUAAUAGCUCACUGGUCGAGUCGGCCUGCGCGGAAGAUGUAACGGGGCUAAACCAUGCACCGAAGCUGCGGCAGCGACGCUGAUGCGUUGUUGGGUAGGGGAGCGUUCUGUAAGCCUGUGAAGGUGUGCUGUGAGGCAUGCUGGAGGUAUCAGAAGUGCGAAUGCUGACAUAAGUAACGAUAAAGCGGGUGAAAAGCCCGCUCGCCGGAAGACCAAGGGUUCCUGUCCAACGUUAAUCGGGGCAGGGUGAGUCGACCCCUAAGGCGAGGCCGAAAGGCGUAGUCGAUGGGAAACAGGUUAAUAUUCCUGUACUUGGUGUUACUGCGAAGGGGGGACGGAGAAGGCUAUGUUGGCCGGGCGACGGUUGUCCCGGUUUAAGCGUGUAGGCUGGUUUUCCAGGCAAAUCCGGAAAACUAAGGCUGAGGCGUGAUGACGAGGCACUACGGUGCUGAAGCAACAAAUGCCCUGCUUCCAGGAAAAGCCUCUAAGCAUCAGGUAACAUCAAAUCGUACCCCAAACCGACACAGGUGGUCAGGUAGAGAAUACCAAGGCGCUUGAGAGAACUCGGGUGAAGGAACUAGGCAAAAUGGUGCCGUAACUUCGGGAGAAGGCACGCUGAUAUGUAGGUGAAGUCCCUCGCGGAUGGAGCUGAAAUCAGUCGAAGAUACCAGCUGGCUGCAACUGUUUAUUAAAAACACAGCACUGUGCAAACACGAAAGUGGACGUAUACGGUGUGACGCCUGCCCGGUGCCGGAAGGUUAAUUGAUGGGGUCAGCGCAAGCGAAGCUCUUGAUCGAAGCCCCGGUAAACGGCGGCCGUAACUAUAACGGUCCUAAGGUAGCGAAAUUCCUUGUCGGGUAAGUUCCGACCUGCACGAAUGGCGUAAUGAUGGCCAGGCUGUCUCCACCCGAGACUCAGUGAAAUUGAACUCGCUGUGAAGAUGCAGUGUACCCGCGGCAAGACGGAAAGACCCCGUGAACCUUUACUAUAGCUUGACACUGAACAUUGAGCCUUGAUGUGUAGGAUAGGUGGGAGGCUUUGAAGUGUGGACGCCAGUCUGCAUGGAGCCGACCUUGAAAUACCACCCUUUAAUGUUUGAUGUUCUAACGUUGACCCGUAAUCCGGGUUGCGGACAGUGUCUGGUGGGUAGUUUGACUGGGGCGGUCUCCUCCUAAAGAGUAACGGAGGAGCACGAAGGUUGGCUAAUCCUGGUCGGACAUCAGGAGGUUAGUGCAAUGGCAUAAGCCAGCUUGACUGCGAGCGUGACGGCGCGAGCAGGUGCGAAAGCAGGUCAUAGUGAUCCGGUGGUUCUGAAUGGAAGGGCCAUCGCUCAACGGAUAAAAGGUACUCCGGGGAUAACAGGCUGAUACCGCCCAAGAGUUCAUAUCGACGGCGGUGUUUGGCACCUCGAUGUCGGCUCAUCACAUCCUGGGGCUGAAGUAGGUCCCAAGGGUAUGGCUGUUCGCCAUUUAAAGUGGUACGCGAGCUGGGUUUAGAACGUCGUGAGACAGUUCGGUCCCUAUCUGCCGUGGGCGCUGGAGAACUGAGGGGGGCUGCUCCUAGUACGAGAGGACCGGAGUGGACGCAUCACUGGUGUUCGGGUUGUCAUGCCAAUGGCACUGCCCGGUAGCUAAAUGCGGAAGAGAUAAGUGCUGAAAGCAUCUAAGCACGAAACUUGCCCCGAGAUGAGUUCUCCCUGACUCCUUGAGAGUCCUGAAGGAACGUUGAAG
rnacentral:rRNA from 1 species